UGUGACAUACCUUAAUGUUGCCUCGGCGGAUCAGCCCGCGCCCCGUAAAACGGGACGGCCCGCCAGAGGACCCAAACUCUAAUGUUUCUUAUUGUAACUUCUGAGUAAAACAAACAAAUAAAUCAAAACUUUCAACAACGGAUCUCUUGGUUCUGGCAUCGAUGAAGAACGCAGCAAAAUGCGAUAAGUAAUGUGAAUUGCAGAAUUCAGUGAAUCAUCGAAUCUUUGAACGCACAUUGCGCCCGCUGGUAUUCCGGCGGGCAUGCCUGUUCGAGCGUCAUUUCAACCCUCAAGCCCCCGGGUUUGGUGUUGGGGAUCGGCUCUGCCCUUCUGGGCGGUGCCGCCCCCGAAAUACAUUGGCGGUCUCGCUGCAGCCUCCAUUGCGUAGUAGCUAACACCUCGCAACUGGAACGCGGCGCGGCCAUGCCGUAAAACCCCAACUUCUGAAUGUUGACCUCGGAUCAGGUAGGAAUACCCGCUGAACUUAAGCAUAUCAUAA
rnacentral:rRNA from 1 species